rnacentral:tRNA from 1 species
GCCACCUUAGCUCAGCGGUAGAGCGGCACUUUCGUAAAGUGAAGGUCCCGAGUUCGAAUCUCGGAGGUGGCUCAA